UACGGGGGGGGCAAGCGUUGUUCGGAAUUACUGGGCGUAAAGGGCUCGUAGGCGGCCAACUAAGUCGGAUGUGAAAUCCCCAGGCUCAACCUGGGAACUGCAUCCGAUACUGGAUGGCUUGAAUUCGGGAGAGGGAUGCAGAAUUCCAGGUGUAGCGGUGAAAUGCGUAGAUAUCUGGAGGAACACCGGUGGCGAAGGCGGCAUCCUGGACCGGUAUUGACGCUGAGGCGCGAAAAGCCAGGGGAGCAAACGGG
rnacentral:rRNA from 1 species